GGAUAGCUCAGUUGCUUAGAGCGUGCUGCUGAUGAUACCAAGGUUGCAGGUUCGAUCCCCGCUUGGGACA
rnacentral:tRNA from 1 species